rnacentral:rRNA from 1 species
GGGUGCGAUCAUACCAGCACUAAUGCACCGGAUCCCAUCAGAACUCCGAAGUUAAGCGUGCUUGGGCGGGAGUAGUACUAGGAUGUGUGACCUCCUGGGAAGUCCUYGUGUUGCACCCC